AGAUAAACCACAAUAUCCCCAAAAAUCCCAAUUUUUUUACUUCUUUCCCCUCAGGCCCGGCUCCAUGGCGGAGCAGGAGCGGCCGCGGCGGCUCCUGAGGCUGGUCCAGGAGGGAAAGCUGGAUGUGCUCCGGGAUGAGCUGAGGCUGGAGGAGAUCCCAGAGGCUCGCAGCUGGCGCUGGGGACGUUUGGGAGAUUCCCUGCUGCACCACGCAGCUUGCCUGGGACACCGGGACGUGCUGGAAUUCCUGAUCCAGGAGAUCGGGAUGGACAUGGAGGUGGCCAAUGGGGACUACAAGAGACCCAUCCAUGAGGCUGCUUCCAUGGGACACCAGGAAUGUGUGUCCUUCCUCCUGGAGAGAGGAGCGAGCGUGGACUGCUUGAAAAAGGCUGAUUGGACUCCCCUGAUGAUGGCUUGCACCAGGAAAAACUUGGGAGUGAUCAAAACUCUGGUGGAGCAUGGAGCCAACCCGUUGCUGAGGAACAAGGAUGGCUGGAAUUGCUUCCACAUUGCCAGCAGGGAAGGGCAUCCCCAAGUGCUCCAGUACCUCCUGGAUGUGUCCCCAAGCUGCUGGGACACGGAGAGCACCACGGGGAGAACUCCUCUGCACACAGCAGCGCUGCACGGCUGUUCCCAGGUUGUGGAGCUGCUCCUGGAAAGGUGCCAGUACCAACCUGACAGCAGGGACAGCUGUGGGGUCACUCCCUUCAUGGACGCUCUGCAGAACGGGCACGUCGGCAUCGCCCGGCUGCUGCUGGAGAAACACCAGGCCUGUCCCACAGCUGUGGAUGCCCUGGGUGCCCAGGCCCUGCACAGGGCAGCUGUGACAGCCCAGGAUGGCUCCAUCCAGUUCCUGGUGUCCGAGCUGGGCGUGGAUGUCAACGCCAGAGCGACGUCCCUGCAGCUGCCAGCCCUGCACUACGCAGCCAAGGAAGGACAUGGACACACCAUCCAGACCCUGCUGUCCCUCGGUGCUGAUCUCCAGGCUAAGGAUGGGAAGGGCCGUUCUGAGCAGGAUGAGGUGACCCCAGCUGCUGUUGUGUCCCCCAGCCCUGCACGUGGCCAGCGCCGGGCAGCACGUGGUGGCCACCGGGAUCCUGCUGCGGGCCGGGCUCCAGGAUGCUCCUGAUGCCACGGGAACACUGGCCCAGCAGCUGGCCAGGAGACCUGAUGUCAUCCAGCUUUUCCAGGGAACACAAGUCAGCACCUGAAGAAGAGGAACCGGCUCCUUUUUCGCAUGCUCCCUGAAACAGAACCAUCCAAGGGAAGUGCCACUUCCAGGGAUCCUCAUGGCUUUUCCUGGGAAUUUCCACACCCUGAACAUCCCCAUGGAGAAGAUCCACCUGGAUCAUGGCUUUUCUAGCUCUUCAUGGACCUGCUUUCCACCAAUCCCUUAAAUUGCUUUAAUUUGCAAUUUAAUGUGUAAUUUGACCUCUUUGGGUAGGACAGAGACUCUUGAAGCUGCAUCAACCUUUUUGUAGCCCACAGCUGAUCCCAAAACCUGCAGGAAUCUCUAGUGGGACCUCAACCUUGUGAGGACAUCAGGGAUCUCUGGAUCAGACUGAAAUAAGGAGGAGCUUUAUUCCAGACUGGAAUGCUGGGCAAUUCCCAGCACUGAUGAACUUUAAAUCCCAAUAAUCUGCUCUCGGAAACCUGGAAUACCCAGCAAGGUAAGAGCAGCUGCAGCUGUUGAUUUGUGCAGCUGGAAUUAUAAAUUCCAU